CAGCAGCCGCGGUAAUACCGGCGGCCCUAGUGGCGGCCACUAUUAUUGGGCCUAAAGCGUCCGUAGCCGGGUUGGUUAGUCUCCCGGGAAAUCUGGCCGCUUAACGGUCAGAAUUCCGGGAGAUACUGCCAGCCUAGGGACCGGGAGAGGCCGAGGGUAUUCCCGGAGUAGGGGUGAAAUCCUAUAAUCCCGGGAGGACCACCUGUGGCGAAGGCGCUCGGCUGGAACGGGUCCGACGGUGAGGGACGAAGGCCAGGGGAGCAAACCGGAUUAGAUACCCGGGUAGUCCUGGCUGUAAACGAUGCGGACUUUGUGUCGGACAAGCUAUGAGCUUGUCCGGUGCCGGAGGGAAACCGUUAAGUCCGCCGCCUGGGGAGUACGGCCGCAAGGCUGAAACUUAAAGGAAUUGGCGGG
rnacentral:rRNA from 1 species